GUCGUCCUCUCCCGGGAACACGUCGAAGGGGCCGCUGGUACCCCCUAGGUUGGUGUCCACAAGCAGGGCGUCGAACUCCUUGCCCACCUCGAAGGUACCCACACGGUCAGACAUAUCAAGGGCCUGGAAAGAUGGAAAGCGGGUGGAGGGGGACCAGCAACACACGGGAGGCGGGUGUGAGUGGCCGCUGCUCGGGGCUUGUCGGCGUGCCAUAAUGCUUCACUUAGGGUGCAUGCACCCACCUGCGCUCCUCCCACCGUGGCCAGCCACAGCGCUUCCUUGAACGUGAUCACGUCCUUCUCCAUUUCCUGGGUGACGAUGGUACCGCCCGAGACCGCGAGCUUGUGCGCACGGAGGCACCGGCUGUUGACCACCGCCAUCCGCUGAGCCGACAGCAUGGAGGGGGAGAUGCCCCCCGCCACGUCGGUGCCCAGACCCACCUUGAGACCCAAAGACAGCGCGUGAUUCACCCUGACAACAGAGGGGAAAGGGAGCGAUGGGCAUUAGGAAGCAAAGCUGUGACCGAGUUAUGUUCAACCGUGCCACAAACAUCACUGAAAUCGGUGCUAGUAAUUCAGCAUAAAUGCUCUGAUAAAGGUACCCCUGCUUACUUGAAAAACGCAUCCCCGAGAAAAAAGUUCGACAGCGGGCAGUGGCUGACGGCGGUGCCCCGUCGCGCCAGGUGGCGAAUGUCCUCGUCGCUCAGCAGCGUGCCGUGCGCCAUGACAGUACGGCUGGUGAGCAGACCCAUCUCCUCAAACACCGCCGCGUCCGAUGCGUAAUCGGGGUGCAUCUCCCGCACACAGUUGACCUCACCACAGCACUCGGAGAUGUGCGACUGGAUGUGGCAGCCGUACUUGGACGCAAUCGCAGCAAGGCCUGGGAGAGGGAACACAAGCACGUGAUGCGCAAGUUCAACCAGGUCAGUGAUGUCCUGGACAAGAUGGGUAGCAACGCAGAACACAGGCAGCGCUGGGUAAUACUACUCCCACCACAGCUCCAUGCGCCUCAAAAGUCCGACCCGACCCCGCCAUCUGCACCCCCGGCCACUGACCCUUCAUUAGCUCCGGAGUGCACGUUGGGAUAAAGCGCGGUGUGAUGCAGGGUUGGAUGCGGGAGCACUUCUUGUCCAGGGUGUAGGUCACGAAGGCCUCCGCGUCACGAAGACCGUCCGAGGUGUUCUCAAUGUAGUCGUCAGGGGAAUGGCGGUCCAUGUUAACCUGGGGUUGAUGACCGGGUCGGGAAGAACGUAAUUCAAAUCAAAAAUUAACCCGCUCGCCUUCUUAUAUCGUUACCGACCAUCUGGGUUGCACAUGAACAUGCACAAAAUCAUAGCAAAUACCCACACACUUCAUCAGGAUCUCUUAGUGCCCUUCCUCUCAGCAUUGCUCGUCUCCAAGCUACAUAGUUCACCCUUUACCUUCACUCGUCCCUCCCGCCUCUAACCUCGUUAUCCCCCAUCCCCUCCUUACCUUCCCCACCACUGCCCGCUGCCCAAGCCGCUCGAUUGAGUCCACCAGCACCAAAUUGGGCUGCAGGUGCAGCGAGCCGUAGUACAUGGCGGUGGUUGUGCCAUUUGCCAAGAAGCGCUUCACGAGCAGCGAGUAGCGCUGGCGAGCGGCAUCCAAGUCCUGGAAGGACGUCUCCGCCGGGAAGGUGUACUUGCGGAGCCAUUCCAUGAGCGGAACAUCAGUGCCGGUGCCGGUGAAUUUGUACUGUUGAGGUUUCAACAGAUAUGAAACGGGACCACAGUAAAAAUUUAGGACGCGCUGUGACCUGUUUUUUACACUGUAACAAACCUAUUUAUGCUGCUAGUGCGGAGCUUGGAGGGUUGGCAACUCAUGCAAGCAAACUAUAGUUACCUUGCAUGAUCCCUAUUUACCUGCGGUGCGUGGACGUGCGUAUCAAUGAAGCCGGGAACGAAGUACUGGCCCUCCUGCAGUAGUAAGUUGAAAUUGAAUUGGUCUUAAUUCAACUGGCUGCAAGCCUGCAAAGCCUUCUGCGUCGGAUUCCCACUUGCCUUCAGUCGGCGCACUUCGCUCAGCCUAAACUCGCUCUGCACGGCCUCUUCCUCAGCACCGCUGGCAAUGCGUGCAAUUCUACCGUCCUGUAUGACGACCACAACAUCGCGCAACGCUUCCAGCUGACCAUAGGCCGGUGUAUGGUAAAACGUCCCCCUGAAAGCGUGCGAGCCUGCAGCAGCCAUCCUAGCAGAUUGCAAUGACGAGGGGUACGCUGGAUAGUAAAGGUGAUCCACGCGGAAGUUGAGCACAUGGUGACAUUUGAUGCAAAAAGUGCACGCCGUCGUACUGGUUGACACUUUGCUCUUUUUACGCCAAUGCUGUAGCAUAUAGCAGACUGCGAGUGGGUAGCUCGUAUCUCAAAGUGCAGUAUGCGUUUUUCAGGUAUUCAUUCUCAUGACUACGCGCGACCCAAAGUUUCAUCGUAAAGCUUUUUUCACGUGAAAUCUUUCAGUGCAUGUCAAUUAUCUCUAUAUAUUCCAGUACGUUUUUUGGGAAGUCAAUCGUCCGGUAGAAACUCCUUGUAGGUGGGCCGAAACGCAUCGUCGUUGCGCGCGCAAGGGCUACAUGGUGGCUGUUUCAAUGCUAUUGCCAAGCCGCAUAACAUCUCGUACACCGUUGCUUGGCAGAGUGAUCUGGCGUUGCUAUAAACUAUCUUCCUGGGUUCCAAAGGCCGAAUGCUGCCAAGCUAUUUGGUCACCACUUUUGUUGCAACUUGAGUGAUGGAGCAAAACAACAGCCCUAACCAGCGGGUCGUCCGGCAGCGUCUCGUUUCGCCGGAUGGCCAGCAGCAGCAGCCUGAUGACGCUGACGUCAAUCACCGGGCUGCAUCGCCUCAGCUUGACAGUAUACUAAAGGGAACCCCCCUAUCGCUCACUCUUAAGGCGCUGGCGCAACCUGAGCCUCUCCCCGAUGGCGCCGGGGUAGCUAUUCGCUUGACCCGCAACCGAAGGCAGAAAUCUGGAAACCCUGGACUCCUCAGGAUUGGGGCCCAUACUAGACGUAGUUUUAUAUGCUUAGGAUAUUGUAAUACUAAUAACCAGCUCCUGUGCUAUGGGCUCAACAACGACUGGACAUCGUAUGCCUGCAAGAAACCCAUAUUCCGCAGCCCAGGCCCAGCCAACAACAGCCACAAAUGGACGACUCUUACAUAUAACAGUUAACUGGGGGUUUAUCACGCUGCUUUGCGCAUACCUACUCCCCCGGCUCAACGGCCUUUAUCGUACAGCGCCUUCAACCGAUAUUGGCAGGGGGACAGCAUGUAUGGGCGGCAACGGAUCCGACUAUUGAUUCGACUACAUCAUCGGCUCGUGGCUCCGACACGGCUGCCACACGGGUGUUAAACGCUGCGUGUCCUGGCUUGGUCGAUACCUUCCACCACCCCAACCGAUGUGCAUACACUUUCCUGCAUACGUCUGGUGCUUCUCGCAUUGACCGAUCUUGUCUCAAUUCCUUGGUGACGGCUGUAUAUGAUGGUGCUACGGCAACUGGUGCGCCAUCCGACCACUGUACCCUUCACACUACCUCGCGAUCGGCGCUUGGUUCAAUGGCAUUGGGCUAAGGCCUACAUCGAGUCCGGCUUCAUCUCCUAGACCACCUUGAUCUGUGCGAAACCCCGUCAGCUCUUGGGUAGGAACGACCGGACCAACAGCCCCUGCAGAACCAGAGGAUAUGUUGCCGUGGUGGCCCGGAUUCAAACAGUCCUUGUCCAUUUCUGCAUAUCAACCAACUUGCAUGUAGCCGCCGAGUAGUGGUUGCGGCAGAGGAGGCGGCGGCCCAAGCCCAAGCCGAUCAGGCAUUCUUGGAUGUAGAGGAAGGGGACAUCACUGCCCUGCCCCGUGCCAUUUGCGCCCGAUCUGCUCAAGCUGAUGCUGUGCAACGUGCACUUGCAGGCUGCUCCAGCCCAACCCGCCAUCAAGGGUUCGGGAACACCCCAGCCCUGCCCUAACAUCUUCAACUCCGGCCAUCAACCACGAUUGCUGUAUCUCAGCUUUACGGCAAUCGAAUGGCCGCCUAUGCAGCAACAUGCGGCAGCUGCGGGAAACUAUUGCAGAAUAUUGGCAACAAAUUAGCGCCCAGGCCGCCGUCGACCUUGAAGCCCAAGCCUGCCUUACAGAGGCACGGCAUAGGUAUGGCCGAUCUUGCCCAGCCGAAGUUGUCCCUGGAGUGGAAGCGACUACCGUCAUGGUUGAGGAGGUUUAUGCGGCAUUUCAAGCAGCCCCACCCGGCCGAGCACUGUGGAUUGAUGGCAUGCCAGUCGAGCUGUAUCAAUGGACUGACUGUGCACCCCUCCUGACAGCUUUGUUUACCUAUUAUUGGACGGAUGGAUAAUGUGCCGACGGGCUUUCUUGGUGGGGUCAUUUCCUCCCUUUUCAAGGCAGAUGACCCCACCAUGCCCGUCAAUUACCGACUGAUCACUCAGUUGGGUACAGACUACAGGACCCUGGCAUAGGUGCUUGCGGGUCUUCGACGGCGGAACAGACAGCUUUUCAACGGGAAGACGAAUUGCGGACGGCAUCCUCAUGGUCCAACUUGCCAGCCGUGCUUUGCACAGAAAAACGAUCCUGCCUCCUUGACUUCUAUAAGGCGUAUGAUAAACUACGCUCGACCGGGACUUGAUAUUUUGUUCCUUACAGGUUCUCGGGGUCGGAGAAGGCUUUAUAGCCUAGGGCGCGGCGCUUUCGGGGAUUCGAUCAGCAGCACUUGUCAACGGCUUCUUUUCCAGCUGGAUCAUCAUCGCCGAGCUUUUGUACACCUCGCGACUGCAUUAAUGGAUUUACCGCCACCAACAAGAGUGAAUUUGCAACCACUCGGCCCAGUAGCUGGUGGUAACCCCGCUCUGGGUUGACCCACUAUUGGUCGAUGCAGCUGGGAAACUGUUGGAUAAACAAAUCCCUGAUCUCCAUAGUGUGCGUGGGCUAGAUACAGAGGGUAUAGCAAUGCUCUGUCUUCGGGAAAUGAGUCACGUUAGCAAGUUACAAGUUACAAGUGCCGCACGAGUGCGGGGGGUCCGUGAAAGCCAGGAGGCCAUGGACUAUAUAUAUUGAAAGUUGAUUACACCGUACAACCGACGGCGGUUUGGGUCCUGCCAACUAGACCCCUCCUCAUCCAGUCACCCGACAUUCGUAGAGACAGAUGCCAGCCAUCACCACCAUCUCAGCAUGCGAAACUCAGUCCAUCAAUUAGACCUCAUCUCCACACCUCCAAACCCUAAGUAAACCUAGACCUCCCGAACAAUGUCGGGGGUCUGACCAGGAAGCGAACCCGGAACCUUCAUAUACACAAAGGCGUGUUGUAGGUAUGGUUGUACGGGCAGGUACGAUAGGGCUUAAUCCGAUACAACAACUCUAUUGCACACAAAUGCUCCGGAGUAAUAUUAUCCAAAGAGAGCUGCAUUUUACGCCAAGGCAUCCACUUCCUGAAACCCUGUGGUCAGGAGCGAGUGCCCUUCAUCCAUCCACGCAAUUUGUUAUUCAUUUCCCGAUGUUGUGGGUUUACACCCACCCACCCCGUUGCCUCUUACUGUGCAGCAGUUUAUUGUUCUCUCCCUCUCUGCCACCCCCCCUACAACCGGGUAGCAAAACGCCAAACAAUUAAUACGGUUAAACCCUAUUUGACCCCGAGGGAAGCAGUAACCGGUCAAUAGCCUGUCUAACCCUGCAUGCUAAACAUCAGACAGCACGGAGGGCUCCCGGCAUCCCCCAUCCUUGAGGCCCGGCUACUAAUCUGCUUUAGGAAAAAAUAUCAAAGCACGCUUUCGCCUCCAGUCGCAAACUCAACGUCAGGCAGCCGCCACCCGGUCCAACAAGGGGGGGUUGAGUGAGUGAGCAAAUGCAUCAUAUGCGGAAAAAGCACUUGCAAUCAGUACUACUGAAAGCGCACGGAGGACGACAGGCGGGCCAGUCGCCAGUGGAUGCGGCGUAGCAGCCCCCCUUGACAGCCUGGCAGUGAGGGAACAUGGGCAGCAGUAGCAGCAGCCGCGCGCACACCGCGUAUUCCAAUGCUCCUCCCAAUCUCCAGCUCCGUAGCGCUGAUUCAAAUCUACAAAUCUUGGCCAUCAACACAGCCAAAAACGCCCAACAUCCGUACAUACGUACGGGCACCCUUCAACACCGAAUUGAAUCCCUGCAUCACCCAGAUCCCAUAAUCACCUUACCCGGGUGGAUGCUGGGUGGAUUGGUGGUUGGGUGGAUGAAGAACACAGGAAACAAAGGAUGGAUCGAGCGAGAUCUGACUUCGCCAAAUACCUCGAGGCUGUAGCCGCUCCUGGAACACGAAGCACGGAUAUCUCAGAGGACCUCCCCUCCCCUUCUCUGGCCACUGGACGACUACAUUGACGGCCAUACAGCUGCCGGCACCAAUUAAGGUACACCAACGCUUCUGGCUCCCUAAACACAAUGCAAUAUUCAUUAUCACACACAAACAUACAUAUGCACACAUCUUAUUAGGCCACAGGCUACCGGAUGACCGCUUCCUAGCCAAACCAAUCCUCGGAACGGAAUGGGAUUCACCCAUUUGCAGAAUGCCCCAACGAAUAAGAAGAGCCGCACCACCUCGCACCCUCCGUUGCCCGUCUAGGCCCUCUUAGUGCCGCGGCCGCUUGGCGGGCGGGGCCAACUCGCCCCUUGUGCACUCCUCGCCGCCUCCGUGACAGCUUUCACCAGGUCUGCUUCCCUCGUCGCCACCAUCAACGCCCUCAGGAACUCCACCUUCACCGUCUCCUGCCCCUCCGGUGCCCUCCUUGCCGCCUCCGCCUCCACCGUCGUCGGUGCCGCCGGGGGGCCCUUCCUGCGCCCUCAGAUCAACAAACGUGUCCGCGUCGUCGGGUUCCGGCGGUGUGGGGGCCGACAGCAGCUCGUCGGCGCCAGAGAGCCCUCGUGCGCCGUACAGUCCCUCCAGAACGAACUCAGCACCCCGUUUGACACAUACGCCCUGGGGCCACCAGAAAUAUGGCGCUAGGUCGUUUAGGUGCAGACUGCCACCAUUACCACCACGCACAGGAGAUGGGAACCUUAAAAGAGCAGCAAAAACGACUGAGCGCAGCCAGAGCGGGGAAGGGUAUUCGCAGCGACGCGGUCAUGAUACGGACCUAAAACCGAAGCGAAACCAGCUCAGGACCACAAAGCCCCACUUGAGUUUUACAUCAACAUGUUCUUUUCAUCAUGGACACGUACAUGCUUGUUUAACCCGAUUUGGACUUGGAUAGCCCAGGCUUAAAAGGGUUUGCAUGUCAGUACCAACUACUGCAUAAUCAGAGCCACGCACCGAAAACCUCCACGGCGGAGUCCGGGAAGUCCGGUCUGAGGCUGAGGAGGAGGGACCCACCUGCACGUACACCUCAAUCAGGUUGCGAUCGUCUCCCAGGUUGAUGAACUUUUCGAAGCGCUGGUCGUCGUCCUCUCCCGGGAACACGUCGAAGGGGCCGCUGGUACCCCCUAGGUUGGUGUCCACAAGCAGGGCGUCGAACUCCUUGCCCACCUCGAAGGUACCCACACGGUCAGACAUGUCAAGGGCCUGGAAAGAUGGAAAGCGGGUGGAGGGGGACCAGCAACACACGGGAGGCGGGUGUGAGUGGCCGCUGCUCGGGGCUUGUCGGCGUGCCAUAAUGCUUC
rnacentral:lncRNA from 1 species